UUGCUGAAAGUAUCGGCAGAUUGCCAUU
rnacentral:piRNA from 1 species